rnacentral:lncRNA from 1 species
AAGUUAUAAAGAAGUAACAUAAAACUGGGGUAUGAACCCAACUGGUGAUACGUUCGGUAUUUUGAAGAACACUAACUGGGCCUAGUACACGAAGCCCAACCGAGAAUGAAUUAGCAUCUAGAGGGACAAGAGGAAAUGUGAUAAAUUAUGUUACUAGAUUGGGCCCGGACCGCCUCAAACCCCAACUCACACUAUUAAAGCCCUAAAGGCAAAAAAAACAAAAGGAGAUGAAAUGACCGGUCGCGGUCUUGUCAGCAUGGCAGGAAUGAAUGAUGCUUUUUACAGUCUACCUAUUGAUCCUCACGAAGCUUAUUGACUUACUAUUAAAGCUUUCCAUGUAUAAAGGCACCUCUUUCAAUACUAUUAAAUGGAUUUCAACAUCACCAUAAAUGAUGACUUAGAAAAAACAAAAACAAAACGUUAACCUUCUUUAAAACCCACACGUUUCCCUCUUGAAAUACUCUCACAGUCGUGACUCUCUCUCUCUCUC